AUACAGCCACCUUUCUAGAUUAACAAAUACACAUGAUGUGACCUGCUGCCAUUAAAUUAAACCCAUCAUUGGGUCUUUUUUUAUUGCUUAUAUUCAUUUCACCCCCUCUGAUCGCCUAGGAGACUACAUAGCUAAAAAAUCACUCACGCCAAAGGCAGGGGGAAAUGGAUAGAUUCCAGCGUUUUCUGCUUCUUCUGUUGCUUGUAAUCUCAGUUUCUGCAUCUCAGGUGCCCCUGGCUUCAGAGGCAAGGCCACUAUCCAUCCUGCCUGAUCAACAAAGAUACUCGAAAAUUUUUGCUACUCUUGGUGUUGUCUGCAAGUGUUGCGAUGGACCUGGAGGUGAAUGCUCCACUACUUGGACCCAACCCUGCUCCCAGCUCAAGUGCCUGCCUUGGAAACUACAUUAGAAUCUUUCCCAAUUUUUGUUCUCUCUUUUCUUCCCCGUUUUGGGUUUUAUGUACAUAUAUCUACAUUAAUACAUACCAAAAUAUUGGAUCGCGUUCAACCCCGUUGUUGCUCA